UGCUCUUCUGAUCUGGAUAUCUGCUUGGUUAACCACAUCCAGAAUAAAUAAAAGGCCCCAAGGCAUAUGCGAUGUCUGCACCAAAGCAAAAUGCAUUUACAAUCAUUUCGUUCCAACUUCAGGGAGGCAACUGCUCCAAGUCUCUGACAGGGAGGCAAGCAAAGCCAUCUCGGUCUCCGUGAUGUCUCUCUUUGACAUGUAAACAUCAUCAGCUUUUUCUUUAUUUAGCGAGUUGCUUUUAUUUCUUGUUUUAGUGAAAGUAAAAAUAAAAACACACACACAGCAUUUGGGAGGUCUACGUUCACCCUAACUUUCCCAGAAGCUCUGAAAUUCCUGAACCCUUAAUUCUCUCUCCAUGGGGAUUUUAGGGAGCUGAGCCUAAUGGCUUCGAAGGGGUCACUGUACCUGCCUCCCAGGGUUGGUGGGAGGAUGAAAUGUGACUGGAACAUGGAAAUAAAUUCUAAAAGCAGCAGAUCCACAUUUGUGAUGGGUAUGGAAUAGGAGAGCUGCAGAGGCACCAGCCUCAUGUCCACAAAUAGGUCUGGUUCUCUGGUCUUCCAGAGUGGAGUGGCACUGUCCUACCAUUUUUGAAAAUAGAAGUGGCCAUUGCUUUGGCCAGUGAAAUGGGAAUGGGAAUGUAGACUGUCACUUCUGGAUGGAAGCUUAGUGCCAGUGUGAGAUCUACCUAUUCUUCUUCUCUCUCCAUGUUCCAGAUAGUGGCUGCUCAGAGGUCCCCAUCUAAUUUGUGACACUCGUGUAGCAUAGGGCAGAAAUAAAUCUUUAUUUGUUUGAAGCUACUCAGAGUUUUAGGAUUGCUCAUUCGUGCACCAAACCCUACCUGUCCUGACUCUAACCUCCUGCAACCUACACAACUGUUGGUGGUCCACAGAGGCUCAGUGUGAAAGGUACCUGGCUCAUCCUGACCCCUCUGAUGGUGUCCAUGCUCCUCCUCCACUGCCCAUUCUCCACAUUACAGCU